UUGUCGGAGUAGAUACUCAAUGGC
rnacentral:miRNA from 1 species